GGUGGCUCAGUGGUAAAGUGCUUGUCUUGCAUGCAUGAGGCCCUGGGUUCGAUUCCUCAGCACCA
rfam:Dipodomys ordii contig_22822, whole genome shotgun sequence.